GUGUAUGGGAUGCUGCCCUGACCUGCGGCUGGUAUUUGGGCUCUGUGGGUUCAGAGGGGCUGGAUGGACAGCCUGGCACCAGAAGAGCUGCGGUGGCAUUUCCAACAUGGGAAAUAGCCCCAUGUUGUUCUGGUCCUUCCAAAACCAUGGAGGUUUUUUUAAAUACUGAAGUUUAGGAGCGUGCCCUUUUUUCUAAGGGAUUAAUUUGCAAACAGCUCAGUAGGCUGUUUUUGUGUGAUCAGUGAUAUGUGGCUUAGCAAUGAGCCCAAUCUUCUCAUCUUUCCAGGAACGGAGUCUGCCUCUGUGCCCUUCGACUCAUUUAAACAUUCCUGAUGCGCAGGAACGAGGGUCGGUGCCUGCCUUUUGUCCUUGCCCUCUCCAGGAAUCCCAAGCUGCAGACCCCAGUAGGAGUGAGCAGGGAAUUAUGGAGGUGUGCUGCCUCCAUCACUUGAAGCCUUUAACCCCAGGUGUUUUCCAACAAGAUCUGUUCCGGCUCACAGAGGAGCUAUAAGCUCAGUGCAGAAAGGACUAUUCUGGAGGAAGGCUCGCAGUGGAGGUGAAAUAGCAGAUCAACACCGAGGCAGCAAGCUGAGGCUGCAGGGAAUGGCUCAGGGGGGAAAUCAAAGGGAAGAUGUCUUUGUUACCAACCCAGCUGCAACUUCCUGCUCCGGCCAGAAAAUACCCGAGGAGGUGACUUGUCAGCGGACUGCAUGCCUUUGCCUCGCCUCGCUUCCCCAUAAGAAAUGAAUAAUGAACUUGUAGGGCAAACACUGAAGGGCAAGGGGAAGGUGGAAUUCCCAGAAAUUAUCGUCCCUUGGUAAGCACAAAGAGAGCCUCUGUCCUUCACCACUCUGAUUCCUAUAAAUAGAGCUUUACUGUGAAGGAGAGGGCUUCCCUCCGCUGAGCACAAGUGAUAAACCAGCAUUUCUCAUCCAGUGGCACUCCUCUCAGUUUGGAGCAAUACCUUUCAAUUCAGGGCAUGACCCACACCCCACCCAGGGUCGGUGAAUUGGUCUCCAUCAGGGCUGUUCUUCAUGGUUCCCCUUUCUGUUUCACCUGACUUUUGUCCUUCUUACCCUGAGCCCUUUCCCCACAGGGUUUUGCCAUACAUGACAUGUACUUCGUGUCUCCUGCUGUGCUGGAGAGUUUGUAUAGUGGAUCACUGGUGAGGAAGGCUGGUCACUCUGCCUUAGACCAAACGGGAUGUUUUCAUGGCUGUUUCUCCUUCAUACUCAAACUCUGCAACCAGAAUGCUAAUUUCACACCAUCGCCAAAGUGCAAAGCAGCUGGGCAGGCUGUGCUCCUUCAGAGAAGAGUCUGCUGGGCCACCAGCUGAGCAUGAAUCACAGCCUGAUGGAGAAAGGGUGAGGAGACGUGGUUUGGCCUCAGGAAGAGAAAACUGGAAAAGCAGACAAGAGCAAUCUUCAAAAACUGCUGCAAAAGAGAAAGGGAAUGAUCAGUUCUCCACACGCACAGAAGAGAGGGCUUAAAUUUCAGCAGAGAGGUUCAGCCUGAAUUCUGCUGAAAGCUGCGAAGAGGGGAGGAUGAAGGGCAGAGCACAGCUCUGCUUUCAGUUUUGCCCACUGAAGGUCUCUGGCUGGGGAUGCAUCCUGCAGCAAUGCAUCGGGCAGCUUUGUUUCCACGGGGCUGAUGAUUUCACCCAAAGGGUGUAGUGGAAAGCCCAGCUCCUUUCCUCUGGGCUGGAAAUCAUUUAUUCUUGCACCCAGGUAUGUGUUAAUUACCUUCCAGCAGGCUACGCAGCCUCGCUCUGCACUGUAAUUCUGUUUCUCCUCAACCUGAGGAAAGAGGAUAUGUGCUAACAAGUCGGAGUGGAGGAAGGCUUACAUUUCAGCUUGCUGUGUGCUAAUCCACAUCCUCUUCCCCUAAAUCCUCUUAACCUCCACGUAUUUCCAAUCACAAGCAGUUGCACCAAACGCUACUGGAGCAGCAGAAGACACCAUAACUCGAACCCCACGAGCAAACUAACCUGCUAAAACAUUUACAAACAGACUAAAUGGUGAUAAUUUGAUCUCUGAGCGUCUGGGCGCUGCUCUCUUCCUUGCCCCACCUAUUGUUCGAUUGUGCAUUGUAAUUUCAGGCUGUGCUCCAUGCACUCAUCUUUUGAGAAGGCUGUGACCAAGUAAUCGAGGCUGUCAUCACGCACAACCUGGCUCGGGAGGCAGAAAUCUCCCCACUGCUCUUUUUCCAUUUCCUGGCUCGACAUCAGGGGAAGAGAUUAUGUGAUCUGAUAGGUAAAAUUAUCCCAUCAGAGGUGAAUGUCCUAAUAAAAGGCUUUUGCAGGCCUGGUUGUGUGAUAUCCCUGAGAAGGCUACAUUCAUUUGGAGUCCUUUAUUGAAGGGAAUGCUCAGUCCCUAUGGAAACCCCGCAGGACAAAAGGCAGGUGGUUCCUGUUCAUAUUAAAAAUGUGUAAUCCAAGCUCUCAGAGGAUUUCUUCAGAGACAAUCUGGACAGACCUGGAAGCCCAAUGUGCCUUUUAAGCCCUAAGUGUUUUCCCUUCACAUCCCAGCACUCUCCUUUCCAAGCACUUGGCUGCCAGGGCAGGAUCAUCCCACCGCAUUCAGGGAGGGGAAAACCUGGUAUCAUAAAUCCAGAGCCCCCCAUGUUCUGAAGCCUCCAGGGAAACCCAAAGUGAUCCCCAGGGUGGUGAUCCUGCCUGGUGCUGUCUGCAUGUGGGCUUCUUGUUCUCAUGGAUUUCCUGGUGGUGGGUACACGUUCCCAUGCCAUGCCAUGCCAAGCCAUCCCCAGUGCCCGUCCCUGGGUCACACAGGGGGAUUGCUUGGGACAC
rnacentral:lncRNA from 7 species